CAUAUCUCCUAUCAUUACGAAGCAGAAGCCACAAAGCGUUGGAUUGUUCACCCACUAAUAGGGAACGUGAACUGGGAUUAGACCAUCGUGAGACAGGUC
rnacentral:ncRNA from 1 species